AUGGCGUACGUGACAGUACCGGCGGCCACGGCGGAGAUGGACGGCGCCUUCUCUCAUCUCCGGCCGGGCUUUCGCUUCCACCCCACCGAUCAGGAGCUUGUCAGCUUCUACCUCCGGCGCAAGGUCCUGGGACACGGCGGCUGCUUCAUCCCGGAGGUGGACCUCUACAAGCUCCAACCCCACCACCUACCAGGCAAAUCAUUCUCACCGAGCACAAGCGACCCUGGGGCCAAAGUUGAGUGGUACUUGUUCGCGCCGAGGGGGCGGAAGUACCCAACCGGGCUUCGCAUGGAACGGGCGACGCCCAGAGGGUUCUGGAAGUCCACCGGGAAGGACCGCCCCGUAAUGCACAAGGGCAUCGUCGUCGGCAUGAAGAAGACGCUUGUGUUCCACAUCGGCAAAGCACCUAGCGGCACACGGACCGACUGGGUCAUGCACGAGUACCGUCUCCACGGCCACCACAUACAGGACACAUACGCGUUGUGUCGGGUCUUCAACAAGAACAUGGCGUCCCCGUCAACGAAUGCGUCCGGUGAUGUCGACACAGACGAGGAUCUAAUGCAAUUCGUGCCCGGCGUCAUCAACAUAGGCAAGGAUCGGAUGGAGUAUGUGUGUGGCGACGCCGACUCAGGCCAGGAUCCGAAGCAUUUCAUGCUUGGUGGUGUCAAGAUGGACAAGGUUAUGAUGGAGUACGGGUCCUGCAGCACCAGCCCGAACAUGGAUCUGAACAAGUUCAUGCUUGGCGGCGGCGACUCGGUCCAGGAUGUCAUGCAGUCUAUGCUCGACGGAAUCGGGACAGGCAAGGAUCCCAUACAGGUCCAGGCUGAGCCCGAUGGUGCCAGCAUGGAGAAUGAUUUCAUGCAGUCCGUCCUCGGAGGUGUUGGCACAGACAUGGAUCCCAUACAUGUCGUGUCCGAGUCCGAUGCUGCCAACGCGAACAAGGAUCUGAUGCAGUUCGCGUUCGGUGCAUUGGGCACAUACCAGAAUCCCAUACAGAUCGAGUCUGAGGUCGAUGGUGUUGACACCGAUGAGGGAGAGAAGCAGUUCCUCACCGAUGGUGACGACACGGGCAAUGGAGAGAUGCAGAUUCUCGCUGAUAGGGCCAACAAGGACCAAGAAGCGAUGCAGCCUAUGACCGGCGGCACCAGCGUGGAUGGGGACAACUCUGGACACUCCUGGUUCACCAAUUACCUCGCGGAAGAGAAUAACUCAUGGACGCAGUCCCCCUUCGACGACUUCUUGUACACUAGCGAUGAUAUGGGGAUGAUUCCUUAA
rnacentral:rRNA from 1 species